AGAAUCAACGCUGGCGGCGUGCCUAACACAUGCAAGUCGAACGAGAAAGUGGAGCAAUCCAUGAGUAAAGUGGCGCACGGGUGAGUAACACGUGGCUAACCUACCCUUGAGUGGGGGAUAACCUAGAGAAAUCUGGGCUAAUACCGCAUAAUACCUUCGGGUCAAAGGAGCAAUUCGCUUAAGGAGGGGGUCGCGGCCGAUUAGUUAGUUGGCGGGGUAAUGGCCCACCAAGACUAUGAUCGGUA
rnacentral:rRNA from 1 species